CCUACGGGAGGCAGCAGUGAGGAAUAUUGGUCAAUGGGCGCGAGCCUGAACCAGCCAAGUCGCGUGAGGGAAGACGGUCCUAUGGAUUGUAAACCUCUUUUGUCGGGGAGCAAAAGACGCCACGCGUGGCGUUCCGAGAGUACCCGAAGAAAAAGCAUCGGCUAACUCCGUGCCAGCAGCCGCGGUAAUACGGAGGAUGCGAGCGUGAUCCGGAUUUAUGGGGUUUAAAGGGUGCGCAGGCGGAAGAUCAAGUCGGCGGUAAAAUUGAGAGGCUCAACCUCUUCGAGCCGUUGAAACUGGUUUUCUUGAGUGAGUGAGAGGUAUGCGGAAUGCGUGGUGUAGCGGUGAAAUGCAUAGAUAUCACGCAGAACUCCGAUUGCGAAGGCAGCAUACCGGCGCUCAACUGACGCUCAUGCACGAAAGUGUGGGUAUCGAACAGGAUUAGAUACCCGGGUAGUC
rnacentral:rRNA from 1 species